UUGCUGUAGACAAAGCCACCUAUUUACAAAUGAACUCUGUUCUGUCGUUUCCCACUGGGAAGACUGUACCAUGUUUGUGUCUCUAUGUAUUCUGGGGUCUUGAAACAGGUUUCUCAUGGGGAUGGCCAUUCACUGGGGCCCAGAGGGGCAGUCUGCCCUGCCAAGAGGGUCUGGGGAAGGGGGGGGGGCUAGUCUUGGAUCUGCCCCCGGUAUGUCUAGGGGUGAGCCCUGGGAGAAUCUGGUGGCGAAAGAACAUAUGCUGUGUUUGCUCCACAUCUUCCAUUUGUGUUUGUUUCUGGGCUGCGGGUUUGCAUACUCGGGUGGUUAACAAAUGGUGGGAG
rnacentral:misc_RNA from 1 species